rnacentral:rRNA from 1 species
GACGAACCGUGCGAACGUUAUCCGGAUUCACUGGGCUUAAAGGGUGCGUAGGUGGGUUGGUAAGUCAGUGGUGAAAUCUCCAGGCUUAACUUGGAAACUGCCAUUGAUACUAUCAAUCUUGAAUACCGUGGAGGUCAGCGGAAUAUGUCAUGUAGCGGUGAAAUGCUUAGAUAUGACAUAGAACACCAAUUGCGAAGGCAGCUGGCUACACGAAUAUUGACACUGAUGCACGAAAGCGUGGGGAUCAAACAGG